CCGGAGCGGGGCGGGGGCCUUGGGGGCGUUCCGGGUCCUGCCACCCACGGUCCCGCCGUUCCCGGCCCUGCCAUUCCACAUCCUCUGCCGUCACAUGCCCAGGGCCAGGCACUGUCGCUGCCGGGCCCGGACCCGGACCCGUUCGCAGCGGCGGCUCCAGUGCCCGCCGGGCCCCGCCGGACUCCUCACACCCCGCACUCCCACAGCCGGGCGCGGGUUCCUCGCCGGUCCCACCCCAGCAUUCUAAUGGGUGACCCGUUCCAUAGAGCCACUGAUUCCGGCGCAGUAACACAGCAAUACCCCGAAGCCGGCGCCUCCGCGAGGAGACCCCAGCAAUGAACCGCUCGCUUUUCUCCCCUCACACUCCCUCCAACCCCGCCGUGUGUCCCGGUGUCCCUCCUCGGGCUGUGCCGCCGCUCUGCUCUGCCGUGCCAAGGGUGGGCAGCUCACGGUUACCCCAGAGCUCACCCUGCCCCCGUUCACCGGCCCCGGCGGGUCCCGCUGCCUCCGCAGCCCGUCCCUGCACGGAGGAGGACGAGAAGCACAUUUUGGUCAAGUGCAGGUUUCCUCGAGAACCUCUCCAGGAAAUCGGUCCAGUGUUCGACCUCCCUCUCGAUUCACCCAAAGAAGGGGAAAUUCCUGGUAGCUAAAGCCCAGGAGAUGGGGCUGCCAGUGUGAGUAGGAGAUCCCAGCCUGGGGCACAGGGCAACAGCAGGCACUUGGGUGUUGUCCAGCUAAAUCUUUGUAUGGCCUUGUUUUCAGGGGAACUCCAGCCAUCCUUCCCAUAAUUACAGCUCUUAGAAGCAGGCAGAGCUGCACUGGGGCAGGCACAGGCAUACACACAGCUGGGCAGUCCCUUCCUCUCCUUGGCUGCCAGGCCCAGGCUGGACACAGCCCUGAGGCCCCUGGUCUGACCUCCAGGAGCAGGUUGGACCUCUCAAGGCCCCCUCCAAGCUCCAGUCCCCCUGUGAUUCUCCAGGCCUACCAUUCCCUUCUGCUCCUCUCCCACAGGAGCCUGUUCAGGGCCUGUGUACAAACACCAGGCUGCAGCUCUGUUUAUUUUCCAGCUCUCCAAACCCAGUGUGAGCUCUCAGGCUUUCUGUUUGCUUCAAAAAGAGCCACUAAUGUUACUGUAACCAGAGUACCCCAACAUAAACAGUACUGACCAUCAAUAUCCCUUGUCUUCCUGAGUUCCAAAGGCAAACCUUAUCUUUCCCAGUGCUUUGCUUUCCAAACACUAUCUCCCUUUAUUCUUAGUGCCAAUGUUCUUCCCUUUGUCUUCCAGUGAUCCAAACAGCCUUUUGAGUGAGGACCUCUCUAGACCUCCAGAUCUUGUCAUGGCUGUUUACAGCUGUUCUGUUAGACUUCCUUCAGACCUAUAAUACAUCUAACAUUUAUCCUUCUGAUUCCCAUCUCUUCACACAACAGCUCAAAGUAGCACAGUAGUUUUCCCUGGGUAUUCCCACUUCUGGGUUAAAGAAAAGGUUUGUUUGUUACUUUGAAUGGCAAACUCUUUGUUCACACACAUUUUCCACAUUACAGUGCUGCAGCCUUGGCACUUGGCUCUGCACCCUGUAGCCACAUGAGAAGGGAAACAUCAGCUUAGAUCUUAAACUCUUGUUGGGGUGUCCUGUGCAGGGCCAGGAGCUGGAGUCGAUGAUCCUUGUGGGUCCCUUCACUCUGUGAUUCUGUGAUUUUUAGAAUGCUUCCCAAUAAAAGCUGGAGUUUCCAAAGGCAA